UUCCAUUACAGUGAUUACUUGAAGUGGAGCUGAAAAUAUUUUACAAAGACCAUUAAGUAGCCAUCUGAUAGUGAUGCCUUGUGAUCAAUAUCUCCAGGAAAUGGCAUUGUCAAAGAUAAAAUCUCUAUGGCGCAUUGCAUCAAGCUUUCCCUCUGUUAGUGGAGUUAGGUGGUGUGAGAUGAUUUCUCCUACAAGGCUUUGGCAAACAGAGUGUCAAGCUGCCUUGCAACCUCAGCCUAAAUGUUUGUGACAGACAGAAUUUGGAUCUACAAGAUGUGAAAUUUACAGAUAAACAAAGGAAAAGAUGGAAGAGCACUUUUCUUUUAUUUAUGAUAUGUAAACAUGCAUUUCGCUCAACCCCAUAGCUUAUGUAAAGAUUCUGCUGAAUCUUAAUGCUGAAAGGAUUACUGAGGUCCCCUGUCAUGUUGAAAAAGGGUAAUAAUCAUGCCACAAAUCAUCUCAAUUGCUCAGAAUGAUACCACAUGGCUCAAGCAGUGAAAUCAUGCAAGACUGCUGCUUCUGAAAGCAGAAUGUUCUUAGCCAGAAAAGGCUUUUCCUUUUAUUCUGUGAAUUUCAGACUUAACUGAAAACUGGUUCUGCUCCCUUGUCUUUCUUUCUGGUUUUAUGGAUCAAGUAUUGCCAAAGUGAGCUGUGAAACUGCAAGGCAACACAUUCAAAGAGGCAAAAACUGGGUACUGGCAUCAGUGAAAUGAUGGCAGCAUCUCUCUGUGCCCUGGAUUGCUGCUUCUGACAAGGCCAGUGAUGCUUGCUUUGCAGGCAGUGGAUUUCCCUCCCUUGGAAAGUUCAAAUGUACUGCAGUCAUACAUGCUGCCUCAGGCGUCUGUCUCCACUGACUUGCACUGCUUGAGAACUGUAGACUCUCAGCUUUUCCUAAGCGGUCUGGAAAAUACCACUAUUUCUUAAAGUUAAAUAUUAGUCAUUUUACUAGCUGUAGAUCUAGAAAAUGAGUGUUCCCUCUCUCCUGCUUCUCAAUUUCUGUAAGCCUAAAACAAUGUCUUGUGGUAUGUUAGAAGUUUGCUUGUUUUAGAAGAAUCGCUGAUCACAGUAGGUUUUUCCAUUUUCUAGGAGUGGCACUGUGAAGCAAAAGUGGAAGAAAUGAGAAUUGGAAAAAAAUAUGAUAGACUUCCAUAGGCCUGGAAAUCAAGAAAACUAUGUCUUCAGAUCAGCAGAGGCCCUAGAAGAAUGGAGAAAAAGAGUUUUUGAUGUUAGCUCUCAAGUAAAGAACCAGGCCCUCUGGCUCACAUGAGAUAGAUUGAGGCAAAUAGGCAAAGUCACUUCACUACAAAAUGACACAGGUUUUCCGCUUAGAGAGAUUAGAAAGAGAGACUGCAUGGGAUUUACCCAGGCUGAAAAUUCUCAGUACAAGAGUAUUUAUAAAACUACAGUUAGUGUUUAUUGAACUUGUUCUAUUUUACUGCCUUGAACAAAAGUUUUAUUUAUGUAUCCAAAAGAGGUUUUCUUGUAGUCUGUGUAUGUGCCUGACAAAUUAGUAAAAUGCACAAAAGGUCAAGAUACUGAAAAGAAACCCCAUAAACUAUUUAUACACAGAAAGCAGCAAGUUUGGUCUCUUCAGUUCUAUUUAAUUUCUGAAAAGUGGUUUCGGUUUUUUUCAGUGCAGAGUUCUUGUUCUUUUGACUGUUCUGUAUAACUUCUCUUUCAAGCCUAGGCAUCAACACAUUCCUCUGUUCUUUCUUUUUCUCCACACAUCUGCAUCAGACAUUGUAUUUGUUCAGCAAGACAGCUAAAAUCAUUGCCUUUCAAACUUGAACUAUGCAUUACACUUUCACAGUGGACUCUUGUUUUAAGGAAAACUUUGUUCUUCAUCUAUUCAGCGAUUAGGAAAGAGACAAUUUUACUGCAGAAACACAUGAUCUCAAAUCAUGCACAGAGGGCUUGUAGAAUGGGUACAUCUCUGCAUGUGAAUUCUGAUCUACCUUCAUCCUCCAUCUUUUGAGGUUUUCAGGGUCUAGAUGUAAUACAAGCAGCUCGUUUUGACAGAUUUAGAAUGUCUCAUUCAGUAAUUAGAAUUUCAUAGUAUGAAAGAAUCAUAGAAUCACAAGGUUGGAAUGGACAUACAAGAUCAUCAACUAUCCUCCUAU